UUUACCUACUGUGACGGUAGGUA
rnacentral:snRNA from 1 species